rnacentral:rRNA from 1 species
GUCUAUGGCCAUACCACCCUGAAUGCACCCGAUCUCAUCUGAUCUCGGAAGCGAAGCAGGGUCAGGCCUGUUUAGUACUUGGAUGGGAAAAUAAAGUCAUUUCAGAUA